AACGACUCGCUCGCGCGCUCCCUCCCAUCUACUCCCCCUAGCAAUAAUCACCCAGAUGCUUUGAGUUUUCCAUGACUGUCCAGUUCUCAUAGAUUUCGGCGGCCCUGAUCAUCGGGUGUGCUUAUGUUUUGGGCUAGAUCCAUUAUUUACUAACUCAUGUUCUCACGCUUUUGCUGUAUGUGGGCAUCGAGAGGGUUGAACGCAAUUUUUGUGAUUCCGUGCCUUGUCGCACGCUUUUACACACUAAUUGUAGUAGUGUUUUGUUUCCAUGCCUUUAUGUGAUAAACCUUAAUGAUCAAUUCUGUCGGUGCUGGACUGCUGGUGCUUGGCGUGAUUGCCAUUUCAAAAGCAGCAAGGGGCCGCGUUGCAACCAAAUGCUACUGUUACAUACCUUAUUGCUCAGCACAUUGGUGAUUAAUAAUCUACAAUUCAUAUAUUAUUGUUAGCUUACAACAGUACAAUUUUUUUUUCGUGAACACUCAGGAGAGUUGCGUAUCAUUGUAUUAAUAGUAGAGAAAGGAGUCAUACUCAUACGGAGACCCAAACACACCCACUAAACAUACCCACAAUAUGAAAAAAAAAGAUAAAUACAGCAAAGCAUAACAAAGAAAUUUAAGAUAAUGCUUUUAGAGAUGUCUGAGUUGUGCUAAACGUAGUAUGCAUUCUACUCCAAGGUGCCAUAGAUGUGAAUAGCAGUAGCCCAAAUUGAAGAGAAAAAAAAA